rnacentral:lncRNA from 1 species
CUCUCUCUCUCUUCUCUUCCUCCUUCUUCUCUUUCCCUCUUCUUCCUCUCUCUCCCUCCCCCCAUGCACAGAGAAAGGCCAUGUGCACACACAGUGAGAAGACUCCUUCUGCAAACCAGGAAAAGCCCUGACUAGAAACAGCCCUGCCCCAUCUCCAUCAUGGAUUUGGCUUCCCGAACCAGUAGAAAAGAGGCUUCUGUUGUUGAAGCUGCCAGCCUGUGGACCCUGUGGCGGUCCCAGGAGGGGACUAGCACACCGGGGAAGCGCCUUCAGCACAGAGCUCAGAAAGUGAACCUCAGCCUGGGGAGCGGCAAACUCCCACACAUGGGGUCACAUACCCCGUGCGCACUGUGUGUCACAUGGUGUGUACCUGCAUCUUCCAACGGAGAAGAUGCCGGGAGAGCUGGGAGGGGGCCGGACCCCACAAGCCAGCCUGGGCCUGUCCUGCAGCGGGCAAAUGUCGAUGAGGCCUCAUGCUCACAUCCCAUCCAUGAAGGAAGGUCAGUGAGUGACCACACAAUAAAGCUUGCAUGGCUUUUACUGCUCUU